rnacentral:ncRNA from 1 species
CAAAGAAAUAGAGGUCGCAAAUGCUAAGAACUCUGCGGAGGGGUGCCGUUGAAACAGAUAAGGAGCAUUUGCCGAAAUACCGAGGUAGACAUAUUGAGGUAUUGGGACAACUGGGAAUACUGGUUGGACUCCGCAAGUUUUGCGAGGUGCUAUUUUUCGG